rnacentral:lncRNA from 1 species
CCAAGAGCACAAGUGACCUGCACUAAGGACAAAAUGUCAGUUGCAAUAGAAAGAGCCACUAUUUCGGGUAUUCAUGGAGAUCACUUGCGGCUGAACAACAAUGCUUCCUGUGCAGUUUCUUCCAACAACACGCAUGUGUUUACAACUUUCUCUCUAAACGGAUGCGGUACUCAGAUUGAAGAGACUGAUGAACAUCUCCUCUUCAAGAACACAAUUGUUACCUUCGAUAAUCCAAACCACAUCAUAACCAGGAAAAACGUAUUUGAAAUUGAAGUUAUGUGCAAGUACCAGAAAAAGAGCAGCAUCACCACGAAGUUUGAUGCUCACAGGCCUGCGGUCAACUUCACCGAGAGAGGCUUCGGCUCAUUCAGUUAUCAGUUUGAAUUUUAUCAGUCUAGUACCUUCAGUAACAUAAGAAAUCCCAGCAGCUACCCACUGGAUUACAACGUUGGAGACAUGAUCUACAUGGAGAUCGCCCCUGUCAAUGUCGUCCAAAACACUGAGGUCUUCGUUGAGUCCUGUGUAGCUACACCCUAUGAUAAUCCCAAUUAUCCCAUCUCUUAUCCCAUCAUCACAAAUGGGUUGAUGAAACUGUUAACAUCUACACAAGUCACCAGCCCAAUGUCAAGUUCAGUAUGGAGGCCUUCAAGUUUAUUGGACAAUAUGACCAGGUGUUUAUCAGCUGCUCCAUUAUGA